UACGUAGGCAGCGAGCGUUGUUCGGAGUUACUGGGCGUAAAGAGUGCGUAGGCGGUUUUCUAAGUUUGGUGUGAAAUCUCCCGGCUCAACUGGGAGGGUGCGCCGAAGACUGGAAGGCUUGAGUAUGGGAGAGGUAAGCGGAAUUCCUGAGUGUAGCGGUGAAAUGCGUAGAUAUCAGGAGGAACACCAUUGCGGUGAGCAUGA
rnacentral:rRNA from 1 species